ensembl:snRNA U6 U6 spliceosomal RNA
GUGCUCACUUCAGCAGCACAUAUACUAAAAUUGGAGUGAUGCAGAGAAGAUCAGCACGGCCCCUGUGCAAGGGUGACAUCCAAAUUCGUGAAGCUUCCACAUUUUUC